rnacentral:rRNA from 1 species
UACGUGGGGGGCAAGCGUUGUCCGGAAUCAUUGGGCGUAAAGAGCGCGUAGGCGGCCCUGUAAGUCCGCUGUGAAAGUCAAGGGCUCAACCCUUGAAUGCCGGUGGAUACUGCAGGGCUAGAGUCCGGAAGAGGCGAGUGGAAUUCCUGGUGUAGCGGUGAAAUGCGCAGAUAUCAGGAGGAACACCGAUGGCGAAGGCAGCUCGCUGGGACGGUGCUGACGCUGAGGCGCGAAAGCGUGGGGAGCAAACAGG